rnacentral:rRNA from 1 species
UGAGCUGGCGGCAGGCCUAACCAUGCAAGUCGAGCGGUAGCACAGAGAGCUUGCUCUCGGGUGACGAGCGGCGGACGGGUGAGUAAUGUCUGGGAAACUGCCUGAUGGAGGGGGAUAACUACUGGAAACGGUAGCUAAUACCGCAUAAUGUCGCAAGACCAAAGUGGGGGACCUUCGGGCCUCAUGCCAUCAGAUGUGCCCAGAUGGGAUUAGCUAGUAGGUGGGGUAACGGCUCACCUAGGCGACGAUCCCUAGCUGGUCUGAGAGGAUGACCAGCCACACUGGAACUGAGACACGGUCCAGACUCCUACGGGAGGCAGCAGUGGGGAAUAUUGCACAAUGGGCGCAAGCCUGAUGCAGCCAUGCCGCGUGUGUGAAGAAGGCCUUCGGGUUGUAAAGCACUUUCAGCGGGGAGGAAGGCGUUAAGGUUAAUAACCUUGGCGAUUGACGUUACCCGCAGAAGAAGCACCGGCUAACUCCGUGCCAGCAGCCGCGGUAAUACGGAGGGUGCAAGCGUUAAUCGGAAUUACUGGGCGUAAAGCGCACGCAGGCGGUCUGUCAAGUCGGAUGUGAAAUCCCCGGGCUCAACCUGGGAACUGCAUUCGAAACUGGCAGGCUAGAGUCUUGUAGAGGGGGGUAGAAUUCCAGGUGUAGCGGUGAAAUGCGUAGAGAUCUGGAGGAAUACCGGUGGCGAAACGCGGCCCCCUGGACAAAGACUGACGCUCAGGUGCGAAAGCGUGG